UACGGGGGGGGCAAGCGUUGUUCGGAAUUACUGGGCGUAAAGGGUGCGUAGGCGGUGCUCUAAGUCGGAUGUGAAAACUCUGGGCUCAACCCAGAGCCUGCAUCCGAAACUGGAGUGCUAGAGUUCUGGAGGGGGUAGCGGAAUUCCUGGUGUAGCGGUGAAAUGCGUAGAUAUCAGGAGGAACACCGGUGGCGAAGGCGGCUACCUGGACAGAGUCUGACGCUGAGGCACGAAAGCUAGGGGAGCAAACAGG
rnacentral:rRNA from 1 species